GGCACCUACAAUAAGGGAGGCAAAUGCCGGGUGAUCUGUCCCACCGGGUUCAUCCCCAGUAACAGCUCGUGCUAUGGCCGCCCAAGUAGCAAGCUGACGAAGUGUCCUUCCAAUACCCUGAAGGUGGCCAAUCGAUGCGUACUUAAGAAACCACAGUUGCGCUGUGAUAGUGGCUUUGAGAGGGUGCACCGAACCUGCUUGCAGAAAUGCCCAAGCGCCUUCACAAGAUCGGGGAAG